rnacentral:lncRNA from 1 species
UAAGUAUACUUUAUCGAGUUUUAACUAAUAGUAAAUAUAUUUUUAAUAAUAUUCUUAUUAUUGUAUCAUAUAAAAACAAGUACUUAAAUACCAAGGAUGUCAGUGGUAGUGCCAAUAAUGGUGAUAGUGCCGAUACCAAGACAACUCACAUCAAUGAUAGUCUUUCACUUAAAAAACAUAGCCUUGGUAGUUUAAAUAUAUGUAAUAAAUUAAAAAAUAUAAUGGUCAAUGAUCGUGUAAAAACCAUAUAUGAUAAUGUGUUUAAUAUUGAUAAAAAAAAUAAAAAAAUUGAACUAAGUAAUAAACAUUUUGUUUACUAUGAUUAUUUGUUUAUAUGCUUUGAUAAAGAAGACAUCACUACAUACAAUUUCCAAUUAAAUAGUUACCAAGCAGGAAAAAAAAAAAACUUUAACUUUAUAGAGCAGUAUAAAAAUGAAGACUACCAAAAUGAAAAACUUUAUUUUUUAGCUAAAGCGAAAGACUAUGAAAAAUAUGAAAAGCUUGAAUGUUUACACUAUGACAGAAGAGAGGAAGAAAAAAAAAAAAAAAAAAAAAAUUAUAAAAAAAGAGCAGAAACAAAAACUGAAGAAAAGAUUGAAGAAAAAGCUAGAAAAAAAGAACGAAAUUUAUAUAAAAAAAACAUACAUGAAAAAGAAGAAGACGAAUAUACACAAUCUAGCUCAAAUUCAAAUGACGAAAAUACGAAUGGGCACAAAAUAAAAACAAAUGAACAAAAUAAAUUAAACAGCAUGAAAAAAACGAAGCAAUUAAAUAAAUACGAGAACAAUAAUAAAUGGGGAAAUUACAUACAUAUAAAUGAUAAAAAUGAAAUAACUCAAGACCAUAUAGAAAAUAGUGAUAAUGAACGUAGUAGUGAUAAUUAUAGUUAUUCUACAUUGUCUUCUAGUUGUUCAUGGACCAGCGAUGAAAGUGAUGGUAAAGAAGAAGAAGAGGGAGAAGGAGAAGAUGAAGAAAAAGAAGGAAUAACUGAUGAAAGUAAUAUAGAUAAACAUGUAGAAAAUGCUAAUAUUAAUGUAAAUGUAGAAGGUAAUAAUAACAUAAGCGAAAAAUCAGACGAAAGCGAUAAUGAUUCUGAUGAUAAAAAUACUGUGGAAACUGAAAAGGUCAAAAAAAAUGACAUAAAAAAAAAUGAGCAUACAUUUAAGCCACAAUGUUAUAAUAAACAAAUAAAAAAAGAAAUCAGAGGAGGAAUAAAUGAAACAGUACCACAAACAAAAGGACAUAUAUUAUCUGUAGAAAAAAUAAAUGAAAACUCUCAGGAAAAACAGGGUAAAAAUAAGAAACAUGUAAGCCAAAAUGGAACAGAUGAUAAUGGUCAAAAUAAUGACCACAAUAGUGAAGAACAAGUAGCUAGGAAAAACUCAAACGAAACAACAGAAAUAUACACGUCAUCAAAAAUAGAUAAAAAUAAAAGCAUGUUUGAUAAAAACUCAAGUCGAAAUGUUGACGGAGUGUUUAGUAUUAGUGAUCCCUUUCUUGAAAUUUGUUUUCAUAAAAAUAGUAAAUAUAUGAAAAUAGUAAAACAAUGUGUUAGUUAUAUAGUUUUAUAUAGCAAUAACUUAGACAUUUUUAAUAUGGUUACAUUUUUUUUAGAAAAUAAUAUUAAUGCAUAUAAAUUGAUAAUUAUUUAUCCACAUAUAUGUAAUAAAUGUUAUGAGAAGAAUACAAUAGAAAAUAUAAAAAAUCAGAUAUUUAAUCAAAAAAAAUAUUACAAACAUAAUAAACAUUUAAUGAAAAAUUAUUUAUUUUCAUGUGAUAGUCAUAAAAAUAACUUUUAUCAUAAGAAUUAUGUUUUUAAUAAUAUUAAAUAUGUUUUGAAUAAAGUCUUUUAUCUAUUUACUUUUUUAAAAAUACGUAUUAUAUAUGGUCAAAUAGUAGGUUUGAAAAAAAAUAAAAAUAAUCGAUUAAAAUAUAUAAUUCUACGUUUAUGUAGACAUAAAAAAAUAGAUCCAUCUAUUGUACCAAAUCAAAAUUUUAUUAAUAAAAAUACUAUUUUAGUCCCCUGUAGAGUGUUAUUAUCUUCGUAUAUAUUUGACAUAAACAACCACCUUUACUACAUUCUAAAUAAAUCAUCGAUAGUUUACAAUGAGCAAAUAUGUGUUAAUCAUAACUUUCAGGUGGGGCACGAAUGCUUUCUUGAUUGGAUACGUACUUGCUUAUAUACACACUUGCUUACGUUUGCACACUUGCUUAUAUACACACUUGCUUAUAUACUCACUUGCUUACGUUUGCACACCUGCUUAUAUACACACUUGCUUACGUUUGCACACCUGCUUACAUACUCACUUGCUUACAUACGUACACACUUUGUUUUAUUUUUUCUCUUGUUAACAGACGAAUGACAACUUUAUUUUCAGUGCAGGAGAAUUAUGCGCUUUUUCGAACAAAUACAUAAUAAACAAAAAUGGUAGCCUUAACCA